UGUAUUCAUGCACAUGUCGGGAGGAAUCUCACUAUAAAAAGAGGAGUUGUUUUUCUUCUGCAUCUCACCAAAACAUUAGUUUCACAACACCUCCGACAUACAAUCUUUCACCAAAUUGCUACACACUCAAAAUCUUCCAACCCACUUCAACCUUUUCUCCUUCAAGAAAACAAAGAGAAGGAACCGUGAAGAUAGUAUAAGGAUUAGUUUACCAAUUCAUCAAGUUUUGCCAUUUAUCCUCUCGCAAGGGGAGAGUCCCUACUCGGACUAGUGUACACGUGGACUGUGUGUCUUCGAAAGGGUUGGCCGGUCCGGUGACCGUGGAAAAUGACCACUUUCCUGUCACAAGAUGUUUCAGAUACGGCGAAGUACAAAAAGAACUUAGAUUGCACAAUCAAACUUUAAGUAUGAGAAUUUGGUUGAGCUGUGAUGGAGUGGAGAAUGCUGAUCCAAGUGGGGCUUACUUUGUGUUUAUACAUUAUUCUCGGAGGUUCUUGUCUUCAUACAUAGAACCGCGUUCAAUUGUUUCCGCUUUGCUAUUCAAUCAAGUUAUAUUCUGCAUCCCCUUGAGAAUAUUACGUUUAAUUAAUCGUAUUGUGUGAACUUUUAACUCGAAUCUUUAUGAUCGAGUGUAUCCUAUUCAAAUAUUAUCUCUCAGAUAGUUUGUAAUCAUAUGAAUUGUCCAGGAGGUACCUUUUCUCAAA